rnacentral:rRNA from 1 species
UUUAUGGAGAGUUUGAUCCUGGCUCAGGAUGAACGCUGGCGGCGUGCCUAAUACAUGCAAGUCGAGCGAACAGAUAAGGAGCUUGCUCCUUUGACGUUAGCGGCGGACGGGUGAGUAACACGUGGGUAACCUACCUAUAAGACUGGAAUAACUCCGGGAAACCGGGGCUAAUGCCGGAUAACAUUUAGAACCGCAUGGUUCUAAAGUGAAAGAUGGUUUUGCUAUCACUUAUAGAUGGACCCGCGCCGUAUUAGCUAGUUGGUAAGGUAAUGGCUUACCAAGGCAACGAUACGUAGCCGACCUGAGAGGGUGAUCGGCCACACUGGAACUGAGACACGGUCCAGACUCCUACGGGAGGCAGCAGUAGGGAAUCUUCCGCAAUGGGCGAAAGCCUGACGGAGCAACGCCGCGUGAGUGAUGAAGGGUUUCGGCUCGUAAAACUCUGUUAUUAGGGAAGAACAAACGUGUAAGUAACUGUGCACGUCUUGACGGUACCUAAUCAGAAAGCCACGGCUAACUACGUGCCAGCAGCCGCGGUAAUACGUAGGUGGCAAGCGUUAUCCGGAAUUAUUGGGCGUAAAGCGCGCGUAGGCGGUUUCUUAAGUCUGAUGUGAAAGCCCACGGCUCAACCGUGGAGGGUCAUUGGAAACUGGGAGACUUGAGUGCAGAAGAGGAAAGUGGAAUUCCAUGUGUAGCGGUGAAAUGCGCAGAGAUAUGGAGGAACACCAGUGGCGAAGGCGACUUUCUGGUCUGUAACUGACGCUGAUGUGCGAAAGCGUGGGGAUCAAACAGGAUUAGAUACCCUGGUAGUCCACGCCGUAAACGAUGAGUGCUAAGUGUUAGGGGGUUUCCGCCCCUUAGUGCUGCAGCUAACGCAUUAAGCACUCCGCCUGGGGAGUACGACCGCAAGGUUGAAACUCAAAGGAAUUGACGGGGACCCGCACAAGCGGUGGAGCAUGUGGUUUAAUU